AACCGGGGGAACUGAAACAUCUAAGUACCCCGAGGAAAAGAAAUCAACCGAGAUUCCCCCAGUAGCGGCGAGCGAACGGGGAGGAGCCCAGAGCCUGAAUCAGUGUGUGUGUUAGUGGAAGCGUCUGGAAAGGCGCGCGAUACAGGGUGACAGCCCCGUACACAAAAAUGCACAUACUGUGAGCUCGAUGAGUAGGGCGGGACACGUGGUAUCCUGUCUGAAUAUGGGGGGACCAUCCUCCAAGGCUAAAUACUCCUGACUGACCGAUAGUGAACCAGUACCGUGAGGGAAAGGCGAAAAGAACCCCGGCGAGGGGAGUGAAAAAGAACCUGAAACCGUGUACGUACAAGCAGUGGGAGCCUCUUAAUGGGGUGACUGCGUACCUUUUGUAUAAUGGGUCAGCGACUUAUAUUCUGUAGCAAGGUUAACCGAAUAGGGGAGCCGAAGGGAAACCGAGUCUUAACUGGGCGUUAAGUUGCAGGGUAUAGACCCGAAACCCGGUGAUCUAGCCAUGGGCAGGUUGAAGGUUGGGUAACACUAACUGGAGGACCGAACCGACUAAUGUUGAAAAAUUAGCGGAUGACUUGUGGCUGGGGGUGAAAGGCCAAUCAAACCGGGAGAUAGCUGGUUCUCCCCGAAAGCUAUUUAGGUAGCGCCUCGUGAAUUCAUCUCCGGGGGUAGAGCACUGUUUCGGCAAGGGGGUCAUCCCGACUUACCAACCCGAUGCAAACUGCGAAUACCGGAGAAUGUUAUCACGGGAGACACACGGCGGGUGCUAACGUCCGUCGUGAAGAGGGAAACAACCCAGACCGCCAGCUAAGGUCCCAAAGUCAUGGUUAAGUGGGAAACGAUGUGGGAAGGCCCAGACAGCCAGGAUGUUGGCUUAGAAGCAGCCAUCAUUUAAAGAAAGCGUAAUAGCUCACUGGUCGAGUCGGCCUGCGCGGAAGAUGUAACGGGGCUAAACCAUGCACCGAAGCUGCGGCAGCGACACUAUGUGUUGUUGGGUAGGGGAGCGUUCUGUAAGCCUGUGAAGGUGUACUGUGAGGUAUGCUGGAGGUAUCAGAAGUGCGAAUGCUGACAUAAGUAACGAUAAAGCGGGUGAAAAGCCCGCUCGCCGGAAGACCAAGGGUUCCUGUCCAACGUUAAUCGGGGCAGGGUGAGUCGACCCCUAAGGCGAGGCCGAAAGGCGUAGUCGAUGGGAAACAGGUUAAUAUUCCUGUACUUGGUGUUACUGCGAAGGGGGGACGGAGAAGGCUAUGUUGGCCGGGCGACGGUUGUCCCGGUUUAAGCGUGUAGGCUGGUUUUCCAGGCAAAUCCGGAAAAUCAAGGCUGAGGCGUGAUGACGAGGCACUACGGUGCUGAAGCGACAAAUGCCCUGCUUCCAGGAAAAGCCUCUAAGCAUCAGGUAACAUCAAAUCGUACCCCAAACCGACACAGGUGGUCAGGUAGAGAAUACCAAGGCGCUUGAGAGAACUCGGGUGAAGGAACUAGGCAAAAUGGUGCCGUAACUUCGGGAGAAGGCACGCUGAUAUGUAGGUGAAGCGACUUGCUCGUGGAGCUGAAAUCAGUCGAAGAUACCAGCUGGCUGCAACUGUUUAUUAAAAACACAGCACUGUGCAAACACGAAAGUGGACGUAUACGGUGUGACGCCUGCCCGGUGCCGGAAGGUUAAUUGAUGGGGUUAGCGGUAACGCGAAGCUCUUGAUCGAAGCCCCGGUAAACGGCGGCCGUAACUAUAACGGUCCUAAGGUAGCGAAAUUCCUUGUCGGGUAAGUUCCGACCUGCACGAAUGGCGUAAUGAUGGCCAGGCUGUCUCCACCCGAGACUCAGUGAAAUUGAACUCGCUGUGAAGAUGCAGUGUACCCGCGGCAAGACGGAAAGACCCCGUGAACCUUUACUAUAGCUUGACACUGAACAUUGAGCCUUGAUGUGUAGGAUAGGUGGGAGGCUUUGAAGUGUGGACGCCAGUCUGCAUGGAGCCGACCUUGAAAUACCACCCUUUAAUGUUUGAUGUUCUAACGUGGGCCCCUUACCGGGGUUGCGGACAGUGUCUGGUGGGUAGUUUGACUGGGGCGGUCUCCUCCUAAAGAGUAACGGAGGAGCACGAAGGUUGGCUAAUCCUGGUCGGACAUCAGGAGGUUAGUGCAAUGGCAUAAGCCAGCUUGACUGCGAGCGUGACGGCGCGAGCAGGUGCGAAAGCAGGUCAUAGUGAUCCGGUGGUUCUGAAUGGAAGGGCCAUCGCUCAACGGAUAAAAGGUACUCCGGGGAUAACAGGCUGAUACCGCCCAAGAGUUCAUAUCGACGGCGGUGUUUGGCACCUCGAUGUCGGCUCAUCACAUCCUGGGGCUGAAGUAGGUCCCAAGGGUAUGGCUGUUCGCCAUUUAAAGUGGUACGCGAGCUGGGUUUAGAACGUCGUGAGACAGUUCGGUCCCUAUCUGCCGUGGGCGCUGGAGAACUGAGGGGGGCUGCUCCUAGUACGAGAGGACCGGAGUGGACGCAUCACUGGUGUUCGGGUUGUCAUGCCAAUGGCACUGCCCGGUAGCUAAAUGCGGAAGAGAUAAGUGCUGAAAGCAUCUAAGCACGAAACUUGCCCCGAGAUGAGUUCUCCCUGACUCCUUGAGAGUCCUGAAGGAACGUUGAAGACGACGACGUUGAUAGGCCGGGUGUGUAAGCGCAGCGAUGCGUUGAGCUAACCGGUACUAAUGAACCGUGAGGCUUAACCUUACAACGCCGAAG
rnacentral:rRNA from 1 species